CCGCUUGUGUGGGUGCAUGAAAUAAGGUGCGAGAAAAAUAGUGUAGUACAAAGAGUUGCAUGAACCAUGCAAAACAUGUACAUCAUAGGAUGCUCGUACCUCCGGGUGCUUGUGCCAAUCCUCGGACCCGGAUGUCCCUCUCCUUGACCAGAUCGUAAGCUCCUUGAGAAUCUGAAAUAGCACUAUGGACACAAGUGUUUAGUGAAUAAUGUAGUGAUGAUCCAGCCCAACUUUAACGAGGUACGUAUACAUCGUUGAAUUUUAGGCUCCUGAUUUCGCUACAUGAAGCUAUGUAAAUUGAUGGAAUAAUGGGUGUUCGAAAGUUUUGUAUGUAUCAAAUAAUAAUUGGGCACAAAAAUAUUAGAGUAGACCGACAAAAAUUUUUUUAUCUACUUGCAAACUUUGCAACAAUUUGAUAAGAUUUGAUUUGAAUCAAACCGAUGGUAUCUCUCUUUUUUUUUUAAAUAAUUUUAAUAUUUUUCAAAUUAUAUUUUUUUUGAUCAAAAUCAUAUCAACAUGCCAAUCAUAAACUCUAGUAUCCAAUCCUUAAUUCCACAAUUGCAUAAAAUCUUAAAAUUAUAAUCAUAUUAUUUGUACACCAAUCGAACAAAAAACAAGCAUCA
rnacentral:lncRNA from 1 species